UAAUAAAGAACAGGGUAUAUUUUACAGUCUGGGAAACGAGGAGAUGUGAGAUGCCUUGGGAGACCGGAGAGAGAAAGUGAGUAAUGUGCUGGAGGCUGCUGAGGAAGCCGGGAAGUCGGUGUGUAACAUAAGAUUCAGCUGUGGGGAUUAACGGCGAAGGACACGUCUUUGAGAUACUGAAGAAGCAUCAGCAGUAAGGGAGGCGUUGGGGAGGACGGUAACAUGAAGGUCCCAGAGGAUAAGAUGUCAAAGAGGAAAGGACGACCAAUGGUGCUCAGAGCCCAGAGGAGCCGGUUCCUGGCGUCUGCUUGGGAAGAGGCUGUUAGUUCGAGGGUGCUUCGUUAUGGACAACUCGGGAUCCAGCAAGGGGAAGGGAAAGUCCCAGUAUGAAAAACUGGAAGGUUGACCAUGGCGUGGCAACAGUGAACCUGACGCUGGGGGCAGUGCAGGAAUGCACAGUUAGUCACAUGAGAACAGAACACUUUUUCUCUUCAUCCCUUUUAGUUAUAGUAAUCUUUACUGUUACCUCCUUGAACAGCAGACAGGCUCUUGGAUUAAGUCCUGAGGACGUUAUCUGCAGCAGGACCUGACCCGCUUCUCUCAGUAAGGUGGUCUCUGGCGGAGCUGACGCGAGUGAACGUGGGAAGAGCUGGCGUCCGUCGGUGCGCGAGCGGUUUUGCAGGCUGCCUGGCCCUUGGGGCGAAGGCGCUCGGUACGCUGCAGCAGGGCUUGGAGCCCUGCAGGACUGAAAAGCCCUUCAAACGGUGAUGCUGGGUUCUCCAAAAAGCUGUUUGGAUGAUUAAUACUGCAUGUGCUUGCCAAAUAGCUUAUUUACAUAGUGUCUACAUCAUAGUUUAUCUAGUGCUGGCUCCUUCGCUGGAACUGGCAGAGGUUACAGACAUGGGCAGUUGAAUCACCAUCUCCUGUAACUACAGCAAAGCCUCUGCAAACUCUUUAUACUCACUUCCUUCAUGCUUUGGGAAAAACAGCUGCCCAGAACCAAAACUGCUGUACUCAUGUUAACUGUACUGAGUUCAGUGGGCCUGUUUUGAUGGAUACCAACCCAAGAGUUCGUGGCCUGAAGCGUCCUGCUUUUACCCUCUUUCUUGCUUGCAUUUUUCGACACUGCUUAAGAGCACUUCACAGUAAUUCCCUAGACCCCUGAUUCAGCAAACUGCUUAACAAAACGCCUCUCAGUUUAUGAGCAGCCCUGCAGGACUGCUGCCAUGGUUAAAGGGAGGUACAUGCUUGAACACCUUGCUGAAUCAGAGCCUAUAUAGUCUUGCUCGU
rnacentral:lncRNA from 1 species